CAGUUAUCGUUUAUUUGAUAGUACCUUUCUACUUGGAUACCUGUGGUAAUUCUAGAGCUAAUACAUGCUAAAAACCUCAACUUCGGAAGGGGUGUAUUUAUUAGAUAAAAAACCAAUGCCCUUCGGGGCUCCUUGGUGAUUCAUAAUAACUCAACGAAUCGCAUGGCCUUGCGCCGGCGAUGGUUCAUUCAAAUUUCUGCCCUAUCAACUUUCGAUGGUAGGAUAGUGGCCUACCAUGGUUUCUACGGGUGAAAAUCCGUUGCCCGUGGGCACGACCGUCGGGGGAGGCUUCCGGGCUCCCUCGGCGACACCGCUGGCUCCGAAGACGCCCUCCGGGUGCUCAUUCGGGGGCGAGCUCCGCCCUGGAGCCGCCCGAACGCAUGCAAAGCGGUGGGCCUCGCUCCACCCGAGGCUUCCGGUACAUGCUACCGCCCGGCCGCCGCCGGGGAGGAGAAAUGAACGGGGAAUUAGGGUUCUAUUCCGGAGAGGGAGCCUGAGAAACGGCUACCACAUCCAAGGAAGGCAGCAGGCGCGCAAAUUACCCAAUCCCGACACGGGGAGGUAGUGACAAUAAAUACUGAUACAGGGCUCUUUUGGGUCUUGUAAUUGGAAUGAGUACAAUUUAAAUCCCUUAACGAGGAACAAUUGGAGGGCAAGUCUGGUGCCAGCAGCCGCGGUAAUUCCAGCUCCAAUAGCGUAUAUUAAAGUUGUUGCAGUUAAAAAGCUCGUAGUUGAAACUUGGCCUUGGCUGUCCGGUCCGCCUCACCGCGUGCACUGGUUCGGCCGGGGCUUUCCUUCUGGGGAUCCGCAUGGCCUUCAUUGGUCGUGCUGGGGAACCAGGACUUUUACUUUGAAAAAAUUAGAGUGUUCAAAGCAGGCCUAUGCUCGAAUACAUUAGCAUGGAAUAAUAGAAUAGGACGUGUGGUUCUAUUUUGUUGGUUUCUAGGACCGCCGUAAUGAUUAAUAGGGAUAGUCGGGGGCAUCAGUAUUCAAUUGUCAGAGGUGAAAUUCUUGGAUUUAUUGAAGACUAACUACUGCGAAAGCAUUUGCCAAGGAUGUUUUCAUUAAUCAGUGAACGAAAGUUAGGGGAUCGAAGACGAUCCACCAAGGGUAUUUGGUCGUCCACAGUGGAACUAGUUGGGGGCCCCGCCUCUGGCCACAUCAUCAAACUGUUGGGGCUCCCGCGCCUUGCGGUGGACCCACAGCCAAGCUCUUCGGAGUGCAGUCUACAGACUGAAUGUUGAUGGGCGGACUCUUUGGAGCCCGUUUCUAAGAUAGUCGAGUCCCAUUGGGUACCCAAUGGGUCCUCACGCAGAUACCGUCGUAGUCUUAACCAUAAACUAUGCCGACUGGGGAUCGGACGGUGUUAUUAUUUUGACCCGUUCGGCACCCUACGAGAAAUCAAAGUCUUUGGGUUCUGGGGGGAGUAUGGUCGCAAGGCUGAAACUUAAAGACAUUGACGGAAGGGCACCACCAGGAGAAUUACGGUUCGUCCACGCCUGGUUACAACACAGUUAACCCCCCGUAUCGGGGCGGUGAGGCCUUUGAAGUGCGUGGACUGUCCGGGCGGUUUCGCUCUCGACGUACCCGCAGCCGGACUCUACUGGUAGGGUGCCGGUCCACAGAUCAAGUGGUGGCCGGUGGACCUCUACAGGUCCGCUAAUGAUAUGAUCGGCCCCCAGACUCACGGUCUGGGGAUCCAGUGCGUGGAGCCUGCGGCUUAAUUUGACUCAACACGGGGAAACUCACCAGGUCCAGACACAUUAAGGAUUGACAGAUUGAGAGCUCUUUCUUGAUUAUGUGGGUGGUGGUGCAUGGCCGUUCUUAGUUGGUGGAGUGAUUUGUCUGCUUAAUUGCGAUAACGAACGAGACCUUAACCUGCUAAAUAGCCAGGUCAGCUUUGGCUGGCCGCCGGCUUCUUAGAGGGACUAUCGGCUCAAGCCGAUGGAAGUUUGAGGCAAUAACAGGUCGAAAAGAUCGCCUAUUCACAGGCCUGUUCAUCCCGCGGGCUUCGCCCCCGCUAGCUGGACUGUUAAGUCUGGUUUACAUCACUGGUACAGAAGACAUCCUCGCGAUCGAUUCUGUGGCGAGCUUCCACGAGGCCGUCGCAACGCAUGCAAAGUGAUGGGCCCCGUUCUCGGGGCUUUAGGAACAUGCUGUCCCUCCAUUACGUGGAGCUUGGAGUUUACGCUGUGAUGCCCUUAGAUGUUCUGGGCCGCACGGUACGUAAUGCCCAUUUAUCCCCUUUAUUCUUUGAAUUCUUGCUAACUGUUUAUAGCGCGCUACACUGACAGAGACAACGAGUAAUCCACCUUGGCCGGAAGGUCUGGGUAAUCUUGUUAAACUCUGUCGUGCUGGGGAUAGAGCAUUGCAAUUAUUGCUCUUCAACGAGGAAUGCCUAGUAAGCGCAAGUCAUCAGCUUGCGUUGAUUACGUCCCUCGAGUACACUCGGUGGGGACAUUCUUUCAGUGCUUUCGAGGCGCCAUGUCUUCAUUCUCCGGGGUUCACCCGAAGCUACCCCGCCCGGGGUAGCCCAGAGACUAAACGAAGAUAGGCCGGUCUGCGGACCGGUUUCUGAUAUAGCCCGCCUCGAGCUGCAGAGCCCGAGACCUUGCGGCCCUUUGUACACACCGCCCGUCGCUACUACCGAUUGAAUGGCUCAGUGAGGC
rnacentral:rRNA from 1 species